rnacentral:rRNA from 1 species
GAUGAACGCUAGCGGCAGGCCUAACACAUGCAAGUCGAGGGGUAACAGGGAGCUUGCUCCGCUGACGACCGGCGCACGGGUGCGUAACGCGUAUACAAUCUACCUUUUGCUGCGGGAUAGCCCAGAGAAAUUUGGAUUAAGACCGCAUAGUAUAACGACCUGGCAUCAGGAUGUUAUUAAAGGCUACGGCAGAAGAUGAGUAUGCGUUCUAUUAGCUAGAUGGUGCGGUAACGGCGCACCAUGGCAACGAUAGAUAGGGGCCCUGAGAGGGGGAUCCCCCACACUGGUACUGAGACACGGACCAGACUCCUACGGGAGGCAGCAGUGAGGAAUAUUGGACAAUGGGCGAGAGCCUGAUCCAGCCAUGCCGCGUGCAGGGAAGACUGCCCUAUGGGUUGUAAACUGCUUUUAUACGGGAAGAAACACCCCCUCGUGAAGGGGCUUGACGGUACCGUAAGAAUAAGGAUCGGCUAAACU